AUGAUUUUAGGCCAUCUUUUGUUAGCCACAAUUUUUCCCAAACACUGUCCUUAACGAAAAAUUAUCCUUUGUUAUCCACUUUGAGCCUAUUUAGCUUUUAUUCUUUAGCUGGAUGAUAGGGGGUGAUGAAGUAUAUGGGGAUCUUCGUGUGGUGGAUAUUCAUAGUGGGUUGUGAAAAAGAAGGGAUGAUUUUGUGUUACUAUUUACUCUUAUAAGCUCUAGAAAGUGGUGAAAAGAAAAAAAAAGAAAAAGAAAAAAAAAUAAGAAAAGAAAACGAAAGAGAAGAAAAAAAAAGAAAAAAAAAAAGAGAAGAGAAAAAAGUGUAAAGUCGAGUGUUUAUUGAGAAAUUUGUUAGAAAAUCGACUUUGUUUGUUGGAAAUAAGUGAAGAGCAUAAAAGAGUGUUUAGUUAUGUUUUGUGAUGACUAAAUCCCUUGAAUUGUGUUGUUUAUGGUGAUAUAGUUGGGAGGAAGAUGGAAUUUAUUCCAUACUUGAUUUGUGAAGCUAUAAGGUUGGUGUUCUUGAUCUAUUUGAGUCACUUAGCCUAUAUUUCC
rnacentral:lncRNA from 1 species